UUGUGUAUGAUUGGAAAAAUUUGAUCUCGUGCAGUGAGACCCCAAUAAUUAAAUGCGUUGUACUUUUGUUUAUUUUACAGAAUGAGUGCAGAAGGAACUAAUACAAAACUGCCCAGAAGAGCGCGAAACCCUCCGAAAAAGAUGAGUUUGUAUGAACCAGACCCCAGCUCCCCCAGAGAUAACCAAGAUGGACUUUUUGUAUUUUUGACCUUUGAAGAUGGAUACACAGCAAAGAUUUUUAAUCUCUGUGAUAUAUUAAACAAAGAUGAUAAACCCAUCGCUUGCUUUAGAUAUCUGACACCAGGACAAGAAGUACUUGCAAGAUGGUCUGACAAUAAGUUCUACAAAGCUACAGUAGACUUCACUGGAACAGCUGACAAAACGGUGGAUACCAAGAAGGCGACAAAGAAGGACAUGAAAAAAAGAGAUGCAGCUGCAAAAAGAUUCUACAACCUUCCAUUCCUACCUCAAGCAGGCCAGUCCACCUCUGCACAGGAUCACCUAAAUACUGUGGACCAAAAUGUCAUUCAGCCUCCAACAACCUGGCCAGUGUACCAGCCUCCACCUACAGAGUCAUUUCUACCUGUCCAGCCACAGCACCAGCAUGCAACUGCCUGGCCACAGUACCAACUUCCAGUUUCCCAGUUAUCACCAAAUACGCCACAACAUUACCAGCAUUCACCAGUCCAGUCGCUCAACCAGUAUGGAACUACUCUGUCUCCAAUUCCACACAAUUCCAGCCUUUUGCAGUAUUCAAAGCAUCACCAGACUCACACAGCACUACCCACACCUUCAGACCAAACACAACAGCAGCCUGUUUUGGCAGAUUUGGAUCAGCGAAGACAGCCACCAGCUCCUACAGCCAAAGAAAGCUUCCUCAAAAUGUUGCACAGUCCUAAUACACAUCAAAAACCUGCUGUUCUUGGGGACCAGAGCCAGACAAGCACCUCUGAACAUGAGACUUUAAGCUCAUCUGCAGAUACUUUAAUCAUCGAGCGUGAUCCAAUUCCAGAAUAUGGAGAACCAUGUUUCAUUUCGCCUGAGUCAGCAGAAGACAGAUCAUGGAAGCCAUGCGAAGCAUGCAAGACAGAGGUGGAAAAAUUAGUGGAGGAAAAGGCCAAACUGCAUGAUGUGUUGUGUGGUAUAAGUAAGUAUGUUUUGUCUCUCUGUUGCAAUUACUUGUUCUUUUAA
ensembl:lncRNA